rnacentral:rRNA from 1 species
UGCGUAGGCGGAACUAUAAGUCAGACGUGAAAGCCUUGGGCUCAACCCCAAGAAGUGCGUUUGAUACUGUAGUUCUAGAGUACAGGAGAGGAAGGUGGAAUUCCCGGUGUAGAGGUGAAAUCCGUAGAUAUCGGGAGGAAUACCAGAGGCGAAGGCGGCCUUCUGGACUGACACUGACGCUGAGGCACGAAAGCGUGGGGAGCAAACAGGAUUAGAUACCCUGGUAGUCCACGCCCUAAACGAUGGUUACUAGAUGAGGUGGGAUUUGACCCCUGGCCGUAUCGAAGCUAACGCGAUAAGUAACCCGCCUGGGGAGUACGGCCGCAAGGCUAAA